rnacentral:rRNA from 1 species
AGUGGCGGACGGGUGAGUAAUGCAUAGGAAUCUGGCGAUAAGAGGGGGAUAGCUGCGGGAAACUGCAGGUAAUACCACAUAAUGUCUACGGACCAAACGUGGGGACCUUCGGGCCUCACGCUUAUCGAUGAGCCUAUGUCGGAUUAGCUAGUUGGUGGGGUAAAGGCCUACCAAGGCGAAGAUCCGUAGCUGGUCUGAGAGGAUGGCCAGCCACACUGGGACUGAGACACGGCCCAGACUCCUACGGGAGGCAGCAGUGGGGAAUAUUGGACAAUGGGGGAAACCCUGAUCCAGCAAUGCCGCGUGAGUGAGGAAGGCCUUCGGGUUGUAAAGCUCUUUUGUGGGGGAGGAAAGGUUUUGUGCGAAUAACACAAGACGGUGACGUUACCCCAAGAAUAAGCACCGGCUAACUCUGUGCCAGCAGCCGCGGUAAUACAGAGGGUGCGAGCGUUAAUCGGAAUGACUGGGCGUAAAGGGUGCGUAGGUGGUUAAUUAAGUUAGCUGUGAAAGCCCCGGGCUUAACCUGGGAAUGGCAGCUAAAACUGACUAGCUAGAGUAGGUGAGAGGAGUGUGGAAUUUCCGGUGUAGCGGUGAAAUGCGUAGAGAUCGGAAAGAACACCAGUGGCGAAGGCGGCACUCUGGAACCAUACUGACACUGAGGCACGAAGGCGUGGGGAGCAAACAGGAUUAGAUACCCUGGUAGUCCACGCAGUAAACGAUGAGAACU